AACGAACGCUGGCGGCAUGCCUAACACAUGCAUGUCGAACGAGACCUUCGGGUCUAGUGGCGCACGGGUGCGUAACGCGUGGGAACCUGCCCUUAGGUUCGGAAUAACUCCCCGAAAGGGGUGCUAAUACCGGAUAAUGUCUUCGGACCAAAGAUUUAUCGCCUUUGGAUGGGCCCGCGUUGGAUUAGCUAGUUGGUAGGGUAAAAGCCUACCAAGGCGACGAUCCAUAGCUGGUCUGAGAGGAUGAUCAGCCACACUGGGACUGAGACACGGCCCAGACUCCUACGGGAGGCAGCAGUGGGGAAUAUUGGACAAUGGGCGAAAGCCUGAUCCAGCAAUGCCGCGUGAGUGAUGAAGGCCUUAGGGUUGUAAAGCUCUUUUACCCGGGACGAUAAUGACAGUACCGGGAGAAUAAGCUCCGGCUAACUCCGUG
rnacentral:rRNA from 1 species